rnacentral:sRNA from 1 species
CGGGGACUGUGGGUUCGGGUCCCACCAGGG